rnacentral:rRNA from 1 species
UACGAAGGGGGCUAGCGUUGCUCGGAAUCACUGGGCGUAAAGGGUGCGUAGGCGGGUUUUAAGUCAGGGGUGAAAUCCUGGAGCUCAACUCCAGAACUGCCUUUGAUACUGAAGAUCUUGAGUUCGGGAGAGGUGAGUGGAACUGCGAGUGUAGAGGUGAAAGUUCGAUUAGAUAUUCGCAAAGAACACCCAGUGGCGAAGGCGGCUCACUGGCCCGAUACUG